rnacentral:lncRNA from 1 species
UGAGAGAUCGGAUCAACCGAUCCCUACUAUAGAAUCGGUUCGUUUCGAUGAGCCGAAUGUACGGACUGCACAGAAAUUAUGAUCGGCCGAAGAGCCGAAUGGAAGAAAACACAGUGAUUGGUCGGCUUAAAGAGCCGAAAGCCUUUAAAUAUAUUGAAACUGACUGGUGGAGAAAAUACAGGGAUCGAGCGUGCCUAUGGGCAUACAGACUCGGUUGAUCUAGUUUACUUCUACUCCUAGGAAAA